UAUAUAAGAGACCUUUUAAGUUUCUAAAUUAUGUAAGGAAAGUAUCCUUAGCCUAAUUGUAUUUAGUGCGUAAAUCAGGUUGGUAAGUAGACUUCCUACUGUAUCAAAGACAAUCGGAUGAAUCGAUACGGGGUGUGUCGAUAGCAAUGUAUGCCACGGAGCUUAUUGUUAGAUAGAAGAGGCACGCUCGAUAUAGGCAAUUUAUCAUAAAUUGUGUCCUCUAAAAAAGUUACCGAACACCAAUACUUUUUUCUGCCACUAGGGCGGGCAUGAUGAUCACCUCGAUUCUAGCGACAUCACAAAAAACCGUUGAGCAUUACGUAUUCGUAAACAUACAUGUCGGUAAAUAUUUUUUAACGAUGUUUAACAUUUUUACGUUUUUUAAGAAAUAAAAAUAGUAUUGUUGAAAAUGGUAAAAAAGUGUGCUAUGAAAAAGUGUUUUAAUGGCUCUUUAAUUGAAAGGAAAUUAAAAUCGGAGUUAAAUCAAUGACAAACAGCUUUAUUUAAAGUACCAAAGGACCCCGAAAUGUUGCAACUAUGGAGAUCAGCAAUAUCUCAACAACCUUGUCACAAAAAUUUGAUCUGCGAGUUGCAUUUUAACAGUGACGAUAUUCUUAAAAACUUUGAAAAAACAAAGUUGCAAAAUGGCAAAUUCUUUGAACUUUCAAGGUUUACAGUUGCUUUAAAAAAGGGUGCAAUUCCAAUGUUGCAAUGGCAAUGGCAAUGGCAAAUGUUGUCACGAAUGGUGAUACAACUUCAUCAAAUCAUUUUCGUACCAACAAUCACUGUACUGAUAAUGAGUAUUUGCACGAAACAAGAAAUGUAAGCGACAAGGAGUGUCCUACAAUUGGUGUUGGCCAAAACAAAAUUAUCAAUUAAAAUUGGUGAUGAUUUGACCGUUCAGGUAACUAUCUUGGCAACGAAAGUUCCUAUUAAUUUGAAUUAUUCAAUAAUAUCGGUAGCAUCAUUUUGGAAUAUGCUACGAGAAAUAGAAACUUGUCAGUUCUGUAGCGGUGCUGGAGUUAACGGAAGAUGCUCAACCGCAUGUCAAGGCAUUUUACUAUCCGAUAAAAAAUAUAAACGAUUGAAAAGAGAAUAUAUGUGUUCGGUUUGUCGUACAUUACGGAAGAGGUUAUUAAUAUCUUCAAAGAAAAAGAAAGAAGAUGUAAACUUCAUACGAAACGAAAAUGUUUACGUCGUCGUACUAUUGAGUCGGUAUAUGAAUGUCAUGAUUCGAAUUGAAGGUCCUGCGCUCUAUGAUAAAUUACGCGAACAUCAAAUAUUACCAUUACCUUGCAAAGACACAUUGAACAGAUAUAUUAAUAAACUAGACAGCGCAUUUGGUUUUCCCAAAGCAAUAUUUGAUACUCUUCGUUUGAAAGCAUCACGAAUGGAAAGUUGGGCCAAAAGGGAUAUAAUUUAUUUUAUGACAAUCCAAAUAAACUUUGGCUGUACUAAUUAUCUUUUUUGAUUGGUACUUUAUUAAUUGAUGAAAUUUCUUCUAAGUGAAGCGGUAAAAUGAAAUACUAAAACAAUGGAGUUCAAUGGUUUUGUCAAUUAAGGUGAUUAUCAUUACAGUAUUAAAUUAUUUUCAGACUCCAGAUAGAAUGGUCAAAAAAAGUCAUUGGGAGGUUUUAUAUCAACAUGAACUUCAAUUUAGAUCCAACUUAAAAAUAUCCUAUAAAUUAAUAACGCAACAUAUAAACCCAGAAGGAUAUCAGAAAAUGAAUUUAAAGCUUUGAAGCUGAAGAGGUUCUAAAUUGAAGAAAAUGCAAAAGAUAGAUUAUGAUGAUAACCCUGGAAAUAACUAUCUUGCAAUUACUAAAAGCACUUUAACAGGAUUCAAAAUAACUUUAAGAGGAACAAUCGAUUUAUUGAAUUUUUUACACGAAAAAAGCAAUUUUGAUUAUUUGAUGACUGCUUGUCUCAAUCAAGAUAAGUUGGAACUGUUCUUUAGAAUUAUCAGAAAUGCUUGUGGAUGCAAUGAACACUCAGAUCCCAUAAUUUUUGGGCAAGUACUUAGGUUACUGUGCUCUUAUUCGUUGGUUACGCCACCAAAAGGAUCAAAUGUUACCUCAAUAGAGCUCUUAGAAUCAUUGAUGGAAACGAAGGAAUCGCUAAAGCUUAGCAAACAUCGAAAGUUAAAAUGAAUAAAU